rnacentral:rRNA from 1 species
CAGUAGCCGCGGUAAUACGUAGGUCCCGAGCGUUGUCCGGAUUUAUUGGGCGUAAAGCAAGCGCAGGCGGUUAGAUAAGUCUGAAGUUAAAGGCUGUGGCUUAACCAUAGUACGCUUUGGAAACUGUUUAACUUGAGUGCAGAAGGGGAGAGUGGAAUUCCAUGUGUAGCGGUGAAAUGCGUAGAUAUAUGGAGGAACACCGGUGGCGAAAGCGGCUCUCUGGUCUGUAACUGACGCUGAGGCUCGAAAGCGUGGGGAGCAAACAGGAUUAGAUACCCCCGUAGUCCCUGUCUCUUAUACA